rnacentral:rRNA from 1 species
AUACGUAGGGGGCGAGCGUUGUCCGGAAUGAUUGGGCGUAAAGGGCGCGUAGGCGGCUUUGCAAGCCAGUAGAGGAAGUCCAUUUUUCAAGGAUGGAAGUGCUACAGAAACUGCGGAGCUUGAGUGCAGGGGAGGAUAUCGGAAUUCCCGGUGUAGCGGUGAAAUGCGUAGAGAUCGGGAGGAACACCAGUGGCGAAGGCGGGUAACUGGACUGCAACUGACGCUGAGGCGCGAAAGUGUGGGGAGCAAACAGGAUUAGAUACCCUGGUAGUCCACACUGUAAACGAUGAAUGCUAGGUGUAGGAGGUAUCGACCCCUUCUGUGCCGCAGUAAACACAGUAAGCAUUCCGCCUGGGGAGUACGGUCGCAAGAUUAAAACUCAAAUGAAUUGACGGGG